rnacentral:SRP_RNA from 1 species
CUGGGGGAUAGUUGGACGCUGAGGAGCGCAAACCCGGUCAGGUUCGGAAGAAAGCAGCCGUAGUGAACACCGAGCGGGUCGGCUGUCCCUUUGGCG